CCAAUAGCGUAUAUUAAAGUUGUUGCAGUUAAAAAGCUCGUAGUUGAAUUUCGGAGUUUGUCGGUUGGUCGGGCUUCACUGUCCGCACUGGCCUGAUGGAUUCCUACCUUCUGAAUAACCAGCAUGCUAUUAAGUUAGUGCGUUGGGGAAGCAGAGCUAUUACCUUGAAAAAAUUAGAGUGCUUAAAGCAGGCUUUUGCUUGAAUAGAUUAGCAUGGAAUAAUAAAAUAGGACGGCAUGGUUCUAUUUUGUUGGUUUCUAGGAUCACCGUAAUGAUUAAUAGGGAUAGUUGGGGGCAUUAGUAUUCAAUUGUCAGAGGUGAAAUUCUUGGAUUUAUUGAAGACUAACUUCUGCGAAAGCAUUUGCCAAGGAUGUUUUCAUUAAUCAAGAACGAAAGUUAGGGGAUCGAAGACGAUCAGAUACCGUCGUAGUCUUAACCAUAAACUAUGCCGACUAGGGAUCGGACGAUGUUAAUUUUUUAAUGACUCGUUCGGCGCCUUACG
rnacentral:rRNA from 1 species